rnacentral:lncRNA from 1 species
AUUACAUUAGAAAUACUGGUGUACUGCAGAAUUUGUUACUCCUAGGUUGCCUUCCUGACCUGUCAGAGGACAUGCAACAAGGCAGGAUUAUAGAAAAGGAAGAAGAAGGCAUCAUAAAAGGAGAAAAGACAAACAAGAAGGAAAAAAACACAAGGAGAAUACACAUGAAAAGUGGAAAUCACAUCUUCUGGCAUUGUGAGGGUGAGCACUUCAGACCAAAAUGGCCAUAUGACUCAGACUUGGGCCAGCACUUGCUCCUAUUGUUGUCAGAUGAAAGAUCGUAUUGAAGAAAAACUAGGGUAGGGGAGAGGUGGGGAAGAUAGCUGCAUAUUUGUGAUAAAGAAGCUGAUUUAGGAUAGGAAGGAUCGUAUCUCCAUAAUGAGCACCUUGUAUCAUCAAAAGCUUCAGCUUCCAAGCACAAAGAAGAGAUCAGGAGACUGUUGUUCAUACUGAUGGAAGUUAAUGAGAAAUUUCAGACUGUAGUAACAUCACAGUGUGGGAGGAACUGUUUUGAAAGCUAAUCACGCUGAAUUUCCUGGAGGCAACACCUAAAGAAAGGAAUCUCUAUUUAUACAGUCAUACAGUUAAAAGAGCUUUUAAAAAGAACGUGGGAGUCCUGAAGGGAUAAUUAACUGAGAAAACUUCAGAGCUUUUCCUCAGGCUUUUUAGAAACAUAAUCUAUCUCUUCCAGAAAGCAUGAGUAACGUGCAGUACCUGCUUGCUGAGUGUGACAGUGGUGUUGAUGCUGACCAGGUGAUGUUGACUGUUUGCUGGGGUAGUACCAUCUGUGGUGGUGUCCGAGCAUCUCCUUACUCUACCAAGUUGCAUGCAUGCACAGGAAGACAUAUGUCUCCAUAUCUUCCAUAUUCAAGCUCUCAUCACUCUGAGGGAAAUGGUGUAAGAGGAGACAGGCCUGACCUUGCCUCGAGAUGAGUACAUCCUCCUGAGAACAGAGUGAUGAAGGAGCCCCACGUGCAGUUUGCUCUACCGUGACUUUGUUGGAAACCUGUCUAGUGACAAGGUCUUCCAGGAGAGAGAAACACACUCAUUGUGCUGGACCUGCUGGUGAAUUGCCAGUGCCUGGCUCCUCUCAGAAGACCCCAGUCUGCAAUCAGACAACUCAGCAUGCCCUGGUGUAGGACCAGAACAGCCAACUCAGUGUCUUUGAAAUCACUAUUCACAGCUGUGGCUUCCUGAAAGAUGCAGAAGAUGCAGAAUGUGAAACACAGACUCCAGAUUCCGCACACCAGCUGCCUUGAUCUCAUCCUGAGGAGCUCCUGAGAUUUGAAUGUUUAUGUUCACCACCAUUUAAGAGUUGAAAGAUGUUUAGACUGAAGAAGGCACAACAAUAGUUUUCACAUGUUUGAAGGCUGCAGCUAAGGAGAAAGUGAUAGACUUGUGGUUGCUGGGCAAGAAAAGAAACAGACUGGAUUUGCAGAGAGGCAGACUGAGCGUAGACAUUGGCACAAAGAUAAGAAGAGUGAAGCACUGCCAGAGACCAGAUUCAAAGUAUCUGAUCUACUUCCUAUUUCCUCUGGAUGUACACAGAUAAGAGCUAACAUUCUCUGCUGAUGGUUUUGGUUUUUGAGUUGUGUGAAUGAAGCACAUUGUGGACGUUUCUGUAGAAAUGGAUUUUGGCCUCAAACCCCUUGUCAGUCCCACUUGCUGGAAUUUUGCCAAACACUCUAAGUGCUUUCCAUAACAAAGGCUUCUGCAAUCAAAUUGCAAAAGGCGG